CCCUGGCCUCACUCUAAGGUUCACUGCCACACAGGUACCCCUGGCCUCACUCUAAGUCCCACUGCCACACAGGUACCCCUGGCCUCACUCUAAGGUUCACUGCCACACAGGUACCCCUGGCCUCACUCUAAGGUUCACUGCCACACAGGUACCCCUGGCCUCACUCUAAGGUUCACAGCCACACAGGUACCCCUGGCCU